UAUUGUAUAUAUGACUGACGGAAAGUGGAGUGAACCACGGGGAGUAUAGUUAUGAAUUUUAGCCGACCGUCUGGGCAAUUUAC
rnacentral:ncRNA from 2 species